rnacentral:rRNA from 1 species
GAUUAUAAUACAAGGUCUGGCCUGCCCACUGAGUAUUUGAAUGGCCGUGGUAUUUUGACCGUGCUAAGGUAGCAUAAUCAUUAGUUUUUUAAUUAAAAACUGGAAUGAAGGGUUAGAUAAGAAAAUAACUGUCUCUAUUUAAAUUUAUUAGAAUUUUAUUUUUAAGUUAAAAAGCUUAAUUAUUAUUAAAAGACGAGAAGACCCUAUAGAGUUUAAUUAUAGAAUAUAUUUUUUAUUUUAGUAUUUAUUUAUUAAUUUUUUUUAUAAUUUAAUUGGGGUGAUUAAAAAAUUUAGUAAACUUUUUUUGUAUUUUAACAUUAAUUUAUGAGUUAUUGAUCCAAUAGUUUUGAUUAUAAGAUAAAAUUACCUUAGGGAUAACAGCGUAAUUUUUUUAGAAAGUUCAAAUUGAAAAAAAAGAUUGCGACCUCGAUGUUGGAUUAAAAUUAAUUUUUGGUGUAGAAGCUAAAAAAUUAGGUCU